GAGUUUGAUCCUGGCUCAGAUUGAACGCUGGCGGCAUGCCUUACACAUGCAAGUCGAGCGGCAGCGCGGGGGCAACCCUGGCGGCGAGCGGCGGACGGGUGAGUAAUACAUCGGAACGUGUCCUUUCGUGGGGGAUAACCAGUCGAAAGACUGGCUAAUACCGCAUGAGAUCUCACGAUGAAAGCGGGGGACCGCAAGGCCUCGCGCGAUUGGAGCGGCCGAUGUCGGAUUAGCUAGUUGGCGGGGUAAAAGCCCACCAAGGCAACGAUCCGUAGCUGGUUUGAGAGAACGACCAGCCACACUGGGACUGAGACACGGCCCAGACUCCUACGGGAGGCAGCAGUGGGGAAUUUUGGACAAUGGGGGCAACCCUGAUCCAGCCAUGCCGCGUGUGUGAAGAAGGCCUUCGGUUGUAAGC
rnacentral:rRNA from 1 species